rfam:Dipodomys ordii contig_64996, whole genome shotgun sequence.
UGGCUCAGUGGUAGAGCACUUGCCUUGCAUGCAUGAGGCCCUGAGUUCGAUUCCUCAG